rnacentral:misc_RNA from 1 species
UUUCCGUAGGUGAACCUGCGGAAGGAUCAUUACCGAGUGAGGGUCUCUCAGGCCCGACCUCCCACCCUGUGUCUUUGUGACCUUGUUGCUUUGGCGGGUCCGCCUCGAUGAGAGGCCGUCGGGAGCUUAACGAAGUCGGCCCGUGCCCGCCAGUAGCGCCCUUAAAUUCUUAAUAAACUUGUCGCCUUAGACCUGAUAAAACAAAAAAAAAUUUAAACAACGGCUCUCUUGGUUUUGGAAUCGAUGAAACACGCAACUGAACGGAAGAUCAAAUGCCAA